ensembl:lncRNA
AGUCCAGCGCGGCGCAGCCCAGCCCAGAGCAGCGGAGCCGCGGCCGCCCGCAGGUAAACAAGGCUGAUGAAGAAGCCCUCUGAAGACACUGCUCUCCUGGGGAAGCACUGCUGUCUGUUAUUUUUCUCUCCCAGAGAUACAGCCCAGGAGUAACAACUCCUCUCCUAACCUUGGCGUCCCCUGCAUGCUGCCUGGAAACCCCCCUCUCCUUAUUUCACCGAGCAUCUCCCAUAAGCCCAGGUCUGGUCAAAACCAGGAAAAUGUAGAAAACCAGGGUCAGGUCAUGAUGGGUGAGGUGAGCAAGGUGCCCGGGGUGCAAAAUUUAAGGAAGUGCUUUUCCUCGGGGUCGUGCAAAUGUGGCAUGGAGAGUAAACCCCACACUAUUUUAUAGAUGAGGAAACAGACCUAGAAAGGGGAAAUGCCUUGCUCAAGGGCACACAUUGGUAGAGCUGGGACCACAACAGAGGCCUGUCACCUUCAGUUGCAGGGCAGGUUCACUCUCCUUCAAACUGAAUGCAUGAAUGAGUGGUUGGGUGGGUUCGUUAGCGCAGCAUGUGUUUAUUGAGCACCUAUUCUAUGCUGGAGGCUGGGCUACAGCUUGGGAACAAGACAAACAGGGCCUGGUGCUCCCCUGAGGAUUUAUAUUCUGUGAAGACAGAAUAAGUAAUGAUGCAAUUAGUUAUUUAAUUACAGUGGUGAUACAUGCUAUGCAGGGGAUGGCCAGAAGCCAUAGGUUGUGAAUGGUUGUGCAGGCUGUGCACUGCGCAAGUGCAUUUGGAGGACCUACUGUGGAGACUCUGUUAAGGAGUUUCCAGUAAAAUAUGGAAGACAGGAUCAGUAUGUUCUUAAAGUAACAGUACAAGACCAUGAACAUUAAGAAGAAGAGCCAGGUUGGAAGAAGGGCCUAGAAUUGCAACCCUACUUCCUUCUCUUCUAGGGCCCUGGGCCCUCAUCUUCUCUCCCUCCCUGUUUGGCGGUCAGAUCACAUGCAGUCAGUCCUCCCUUGGGAGUCUCAGAGAAGGAGCCCUGCAGCCAGCAGGGCCUGGGGGAGCAAGAGGAGUGAGGCAUUGCCCUGUCUUGUGUGGCAGAGCUUCUGCUGCCCUGGAUUCGAUUCAAGGGCUUAGAAGCCUGGGAUAGCAGCAGGGGCUGGAGUCUUCAAAACCAAGGAUUCUCUGCCUGGACAAAGCAUGGUUCUCAGUAUUGCCUGUUCUCUGGAAUGUUGGGUCUGGGUGGAGCCUGGCUUCUAGGAAUUAGGCAUCCCAACAGCUCACUGUGAAGCUUUGGGUACUCAUGCCUCAGAGUGUUUCUGCAUGCAUGAAGAAAGCUUGUGUAAAAAUACAGGGAGAUGUGUGCUAUUGUUUUAUUUAAGUAUCUUACCUGCCUGUUGGGUGAGGCCAGCUCCUAGGCCAACCACCUGGGCCAGCUGUGGUAUAAUAUCCUGGGAGCCAGUUCCCCUUCUCCCUCACGCUUGCUGGGGGACUUUGGAUAAGCCUCACCUCCCGGAGCCUCACUCUGCAAAAUGAGAAUGAUAAAGGCCUAGCUUACCCAAUUAUUAACAUCAAAAAAAAAAAAAAAAAAAAAAA